AUUGAACGCUGGCGGCAUGCCUUACACAUGCAAGUCGAACGGCAGCACGGGAGCAAUCCUGGUGGCGAGUGGCGAACGGGUGAGUAAUAUAUCGGAACGUGCCCAGUCGUGGGGGAUAACGCAGCGAAAGCUGUGCUAAUACCGCAUACGAUCUACGGAUGAAAGCGGGGGACCGCGAGACCUCGCGCGAUUGGAGCGGCCGAUAUCAGAUUAGCUAGUUGGUGAGGUAAAGGCUCACCAAGGCGACGAUCUGUAGCUGGUCUGAGAGGACGACCAGCCACACUGGAAAGGAGACGCGGUCCAGACUCCUACGGGAGGCAGCAGUGGGAAAUUUUGGACAAUGGGCGAAAGCCUGAUCCAGCAAUGCCGCGUGCAGGAUGAAGGCCUUCGGGUUGUAAACUGCUUUUGUACGGAACGAAACGGUGAGCUCUAAUACAGUUUGCUAAUGACGGUACCGUAAGAAUAAGCACCGGCUAACUACGUGCCAGCCGCCGCAGUAA
rnacentral:rRNA from 1 species